UACGGGGGGGGCAAGCGUUGUCCGGAAUUAUUGGGCGUAAAGGGCUCGUAGGCGGCUAACUAAGUCGGACGUGAAAUCCCCAGGCUCAACCUGGGAACUGCGUCUGAUACUGGAUGGCUUGAAUUCGGGAGAGGGAUGCAGAAUUCCAGGUGUAGCGGUGAAAUGCGUAGAUAUCUGGAGGAAUACCGGUGGCGAAGGCGGCAUCCUGGACCGACAUUGACGCUGAUGAGCGAAAGCUAGGGGAGCAAACGGG
rnacentral:rRNA from 1 species